GAGAUAAACACUAAGUGGCCUGUCAAGACCUCUUAUGGUGAUGUUUGAAGAUUAACGGAUAAUUACUGGAACUAAACAUGUAUAAGAUAAUAAAAGAAGUCUUCAUACACUCAAAACUGUUAUUAUAUAAUCCAUUUUAUCAGAUAACAUUGUAAUUGGAUUAUUAAUCAAUAAUAAAAAGAUGAUAAGAUACUCUUUUGAGAAAAAAGAUAUACUCCAUACAAUCAAUUGGUUAAAAUGAAAUUUGUAAAAUAUUAUAAAGCAGCAGUC
rnacentral:lncRNA from 1 species